rnacentral:rRNA from 1 species
AACGAACGCUGGCGGCAGGCCUAACACAUGCAAGUCGAGCGGGACCUUCGGGUCUAGCGGCGGACGGGUUAGUAACACGUGGGAACGUACCUCUCUCUACGGAAUAGCCUCGGGAAACUGAGCGUAAUACCGUACACGCCCUUUGGGGGAAAGAUUUAUCGGAGAGAGAUCGGCCCGCGUCUGAUUAGAUAGUUGGUGGGGUAAUGGCCUACCAAGUCUACGAUCAGUAGCUGGUUUGAGAGGAUGACCAGUAACACUGGGACUGAGACACGGCCCAGACUCCUACGGGAGGCAGCAGUGGGGAAUCUUAGACAAUGGGCGCAAGCCUGAUCUAGCCAUGCCGCGUGAGUGAUGAAGGCCUUAGGGUCGUAAAGCUCUUUCGCUGGGGAAGAUAAUGACUGUACCCAGUAAAGAAACCCCGGCUAACUCCGUGCCAGCAGCCGCAGUAA